GAUGAAGAACGUAGCGAAAUGCGAUACGUAGUGUGAAUUGCAGAAUUCAGUGAAUCAUCGAAUCUUUGAACGCACAUUGCGCCCUUUGGUAUUCCAAAGGGCAUGCCUGUUCGAGCGUCAUUUGUACCCUCAAGCUUUGCUUGGUGUUGGGCGUCUUGUCUCCAGUCCGCUGGAGACUCGCCUUAAAGUCAUUGGCAGCCGGCCUACUGGUUUCGGAGCGCAGCACAAGUCGCACUCUUUUCCAGCCAAGGUCAGUGUCCAACAAGCCUUUUUUCAACUUUUGACCUCGGAUCAGGUAGGGAUACCCGCUGAACUUAAGCAUAUCAAUAGCGGAGGA
rnacentral:misc_RNA from 1 species